GAACGCGAGGUAGCACUGUGUCUGCCCAUCUCAACUGUCCACAGAAUCAGCCUCACAAGGUACCCCAUGUAGCACAGUGUCUGCCCAUCUGAACCAUCCACAGCCUCAGCCUCACCACGGACCCCAGGUACGACUAUGCCUGCUCAUCUCAGCUGUCCACACACUCAGCCUCACCAGAGACCACAGGCAGCACUGUGCCUGCCUAUCAGAAAUGCAGCUGUCCACAGCCUCAGCCUCACCAGGAACCCCAGGUAGCACUGUGCCUGCCCAUCAGAAAUGCAGCUGUCCACAGCCUCAGCCUCACUAGGAACCCCAGGUAGCACUGUGCCUGCUCAUCUCAACUGUCCACAGAAUCAGCCUCACAAGGGACCCCAUGUAGCACUGU